rnacentral:lncRNA from 1 species
GAUUCUCGAGGCUCAAACCUCAAUUGCAAGAUUGAAAUGAAUAGCAAUGGCCAUUCCUCUCAUGAAAUAUUUACAUUUCUAUGAAAGAUAAAUGCCCUUGUUCUCCCUCUCAUAAGCUCCAAAAUUGACCCUCCCUCUCAUAAGCUCCAAAAUUGACCCUUCUGAUACGGAACUGGAGAUAAUGAAAAGAUGCACACCACAAGAAUCUGGAGGAAACUUCCUAGUAGAAUUCUCUAAUGACAAGCAAUUAGCGCAAAAUCUGGCUGAUGCACUAACAGUGAGACAUGCAUUAUGUCCAAUAAGUAGAGCCCCUUUAACCAUACCAUGUCCCAGCAAAGCCAAUCCCGCGCUAU